ACCUCUAUAGCUCAGUGGUAGAGCGUCAGUCUUGUAAACUGAAGGUUCGUAGUUCGAUCCUGUGUCGAGGCA
rnacentral:tRNA from 1 species